GUGGUCAGCUGAAUAAACACACAGAAACAAUCCAAGAGCUUAGUGAUAAGGUGGGAGAUCAGUGGAAGAUAAGUGGGAGAUCAGUCUUUGCAGAGUACUCAAUUUUCUGAUACAGAAGUAUAUCAAUAAAUUAAUGAUAUAUUGCAGUAUAUGUAUAGGUUAUUUAUGUACUGCUCUGUAGUAUACUUUUGGUUGAUUCAAGUGAUAAUGUAUGGUCACAUGUAUAGGUUAUUUAUGUACUGCUCUGUAGUAUACUUUUGGUUGAUUCAAGUGAUAAAUGUAUGGACGGGUUAAAAUAUUUCAUAUCGCCAUUUGAUACUGUGCUUUACAGUCAAUUAUGUGAUUAUGCAAUAUGUGAUAGGCCAAUUAUUUGUUA